UUAAUGGUUGAAUUCUAGAAUUUCUUCUUUCUGUUUUUUUUUUAAAGCUUUUUUGGAAAAAAGAAGGAAAAGGAAAAAUGGAAAAAGAACCGACUGAAGAUGCGAUCUUUGAUUUGAUCCUGGGAGUGUGGAGAAAUCUAGGCCGUUAGCCUUUCCAAUUUUUUAUUAAUUAUCAGACAGUAAAUACAGAAAGAGAAAUGAAAGGAGGCGAUGAGGAGGUCGCAGCUCCGGCUGGCCCGCCACAGCCGUUGGAUUGGAAAUUUUCUCAGGUAUUUGGUGAGCGAACCGCUGGAGAAGAAAUUCAAGAAGUUGAUAUUAUUUCCGCAAUUGAAUUCGAUAAAACUGGGGAUCAUCUUGCAACUGGUGACCGUGGGGGCCGUGUGGUUCUUUUUGAGAGGACAGAUGCAAAGGAUCGUGGUCUAUCAAGAAGGGAUCUAGAAAGAACGGAUUAUCCAAUUAGUCGGCACCCUGAGUUCCGUUACAAGACAGAGUUCCAGAGCCAUGAGCCUGAGUUUGACUACCUCAAAAGCUUGGAAAUAGAGGAAAAAAUCAACAAAAUCAGAUGGUGCCAAACAGCCAACAGUGCACUGUUUCUCCUCUCCGCCAAUGAUAAAACCAUCAAAUUUUGGAAGGUACAAGAAAAGAAGAUCAAGAAAAUUUCUAAAAUUAUUGCUGACCCUUCGAAAGCUGUUGGAAAUGGAAAUGUUGCUAGUUCAAGUAAUUCAAAUAGCCCAAAAUCUUUUCUUGCAAAUGGAGUCUCCCCCGACAGAUCCUGCAACCAUUUGGGCAAUGACAUCUCUUUCCCACCAGGAGGCCUUCCAUCGCUAUGUUUACCUGUGGUGGUAACAAGUCAGGAGACCAACCUAGUGGCGAGAUGUCGAAGAGUAUAUGGCCAUGCUCAUGAUUAUCAUAUCAACUCUAUUUCAAAUAACAGUGAUGGCGAAACUUUUAUAUCAGCUGAUGAUUUGCGUAUAAAUCUUUGGAACCUGGAAAUUAGCAAUCAAAGUUUCAAUAUUGUUGAUUUAAAGCCUGCAAACAUGGAGGAUCUAACUGAGGUUAUAACAUCAGCAGAGUUUCACCCUGCCCACUGUAAUAUGUUGGCAUAUAGUAGCUCAAAGGGCUCGAUUCGCCUCAUUGAUUUGCGGCAAUCAGCUUUGUGUGAUUCUCAUGCCAAAUUGUUUGAAGAACCGGAGGCACCUGGUUCUAGAUCGUUUUUUACAGAGAUAAUCGCCUCAAUCUCAGAUAUUAAAUUUGCCAAGGAUGGAAGAUAUAUACUCAGCCGUGAUUACAUGACUCUUAAGUUAUGGGACAUAAACAUGGAUUCGGGUCCAGUUGCAACAUUCCAGGUUCACGAAUAUUUAAGACCCAAGUUGUGUGAUUUGUAUGAAAACGAUUCAAUCUUUGACAAAUUUGAGUGUUGCCUAAGUGGUGAUGGAUUGCGAGUUGCAACAGGUUCCUACAGCAAUCUGUUCCGUGUAUUUGGUUGUGCCCCUGGAAGCACUGAGACAACAACUUUGGAAGCCAGCAAAAAUCCAAUGAGGACACAAGUUCAGUCACCCUCAAGGCCUUCCAGAUCCCUAAACAGCAUAACACGUGUUGUACGACGAGCAGAAACCCUCGGAGUUGAUGCAAAUGGAAACUCUCUUGAUUUCACGACAAAGUUGCUGCACUUAGCGUGGCACCCCACCGAAAACUUGAUAGCUUGUGUUGCUGCUAACAGCUUGUACAUGUACUAUGCAUAAAAGAUGGUCCAAGAAGCAAUGUAUUUCCUUGGUUAACUUUUAUUUGGGAGCUGGUAGCAAAACCUUGUUUCACUUUCCUGGUGACCAUCGCGUUAAAUGCUACAUCGACUCUUAACACUUUUGGUAGCCCUAAAAUCCAUAGCACAUCCUAGUAUCGAGGUCAAGAAAUAUCUUAGCAGGGAAGAAACAUAUCUUUGUUCUCGGGUAGGCAGCUCAAUUCUCUUUUCCCCUUUCCCCCCUCAUCUCAGAAACCCGAAAAUUUUCUUUUCCCUCCCGUAAUCUUCUUUCAAAGUAGAAGGUGGAGUUAUGUUUCUAAGACGUGUUGGGUUGAAGUUAGCAGAAAAUAUGAUUGUAGCAAAAGGAUUUCAAAAUAUUUGGCACAAGGUUCAAAGGCUUUCAGAUUAACAAAAACCUGUUGAACUAAUUAUCAAACGACGAAUAUCCAGACACCUAUUGAACUAAUUAUCGUAUCUGACCAAUUGUUGCAUUCAUUUUAAUUUAUUACACCUGGAGUCCAAGUUGACAGAGUCGUCUCCGAUAACAAUGGAGAUUGGUGAGUGGGAGAGAUGGAGCUUCAUCAAAUCUGGGGCGUCAAUCAAACGCAUCUGAAACCGUAGUAUUUCAUAGGUGACUAGUGUCAUGGGUUCCUAAGUCCGUGACACUAGAAGGUAGAAAAAGCUUCUGUGCAAUAAAUUUUGUUAAAAUCUUCUAGUCCUUUUAUUUUGAAUAUAAUUUAUUUAUUUUUUCAAA